rnacentral:rRNA from 1 species
AGAGUUUGAUCCUGGCUCAGAACGAACGCUGGCGGCAGGCCUAACACAUGCAAGUCGAACGCCCCGCAAGGGGAGUGGCAGACGGGUGAGUAACGCGUGGGAACAUGCCUUUCGGUUCGGAAUAGUCCCGGGAAACUGGGGUUAAUACCGGAUACGUCCUUCGGGAGAAAGAUUUAUCGCCGAAAGAUUGGCCCGCGUCUGAUUAGCUAGUUGGCGGUGUAAUGGACCACCAAGGCGACGAUCAGUAGCUGGUCUGAGAGGAUGAUCAGCCACACUGGGACUGAGACACGGCCCAGACUCCUACGGGAGGCAGCAGUGGGGAAUAUUGGACAAUGGGCGCAAGCCUGAUCCAGCCAUGCCGCGUGAGUGAUGAAGGCCCUAGGGUUGUAAAGCUCUUUCGGCGGGGACGAUAAUGACCGUACCCGCAGAAGAAGCCCCGGCUAACUUCGUGCCAGCAGCCGCGGUA